GCGUGGAGGAGGUGGUGGUGGUGGUAGAUGAGGGAGAAGGAGGAAGAGGAUGAGGAUUGAGGAAGAGCGUGGAGGAGGUGGUGGUGGUGGUAGAUGGGGGAGAAGGAGGAAGAGGAUGAGGAUGGAGGAAGAGUGUGGAGGAGGUGGUGGUGGUAGAUGGGGAGAAGGAGGACGAGGAUGGAGGAAGAGCGUGGAGGGGGUGGUGGUGGUGGUAGAUGGGGGAGAAGGAGGACGAGGAUGGAGGAAGAGUGUGGAGGAGGUGGUGGUGGUGGUAGAUGGAGGAGAAGGAGGAAGAGGACGAGGAUGGAGGAAGAGUGUGGAGGAGGUGGUGGUGG
ensembl:lncRNA